UCCUCACGGCAUGUGCCCUUCUCAAAGGUGUGUCUUCAAGGAGGCAAAAAGAUGGCAAGUUUUCUGAGCUCAUUUUUGUCUUAGAUGGGAACCAUGAAGUCCUGGGAAAAGACAAGGCAUGAAGAAUAGAGUAGGUCUUUGACUCCAGGCACAAAGAAUUUGCAGGAUUACAUUUUCUAGGAAGGCUUGUUUUUUUCCUCAGCUGAAGAAUCUACAUCCCCAAAGAACUGAUUUGGAAACUGUCCACUAGUUGUGAUCCAGACAUGCAGAUGAGCUGUUUAGGAGGUGGACAUGAUUUUAAUUCACACAUCUCCCUUUAUCAGGUCCUACCUACCCUCCUUACCUAACUGGUAGAAGGACAAGCUUCAGUCUUCUGGGACAUCCUCCUUACAGGAUCUUAAGAGGUUCCCUGUGAGUCUGCUGAUUUUAGGAUUUUCUUUUUCCAAAAGUCAAGGGACAGCCAUCUGUUAUUGGACACACUUUUGUGAUUCUAUUAAGAAGC